rnacentral:rRNA from 1 species
GGGCAUGGCGGAGGCUACCAUGCAGUCGAGCGGUAACAGGGGUAGCUUGCUACCCGCUGACGAGCGGCGGACGGGUGAGUAAUGCAUAGGAAUCUGCCCGAUAGUGGGGGAUAACCUGGGGAAACCCAGGCUAAUACCGCAUACGUCCUACGGGAGAAAGGGGGCUCCGGCUCCCGCUAUUGGAUGAGCCUAUGUCGGAUUAGCUAGUUGGUGAGGUAAUGGCUUACCAAGGCAACGAUCCGUAGCUGGUCUGAGAGGAUGAUCAGCCACAUCGGGACUGAGACACGGCCCGAACUCCUACGGGAGGCAGCAGUGGGGAAUAUUGGACAAUGGGGGCAACCCUGAUCCAGCCAUGCCGCGUGUGUGAAGAAGGCCCUCGGGUUGUAAAGCACUUUCAGCGAGGAAGAACGCCUAUCGGUUAAUACCCGGUAGGAAAGACAUCACUCGCAGAAGAAGCACCGGCUAACUCCGUGCCAGCAGCCGCGGUAAUACGGAGGGUGCAAGCGUUAAUCGGAAUUACUGGGCGUAAAGCGCGCGUAGGUGGCUUGAUAAGCCGGUUGUGAAAGCCCCGGGCUCAACCUGGGAACGGCAUCCGGAACUGUCAGGCUAGAGUGCAGGAGAGGAAGGUAGAAUUCCCGGUGUAGCGGUGAAAUGCGUAGAGAUCGGGAGGAAUACCAGUGGCGAAGGCGGCCUUCUGGACUGACACUGACACUGAGGUGCGAAAGCGUGGGUAGCAAACAGGAUUAGAUACCUUUGGUAGUCA